rnacentral:lncRNA from 1 species
CAGAGAUUGUAAAGUCAUGCUUCCUACGGGCAACGGAAAGAGUUUUAAAAGAACUAUUAAAGGAACAAAAUUAUCUCACCAGUGGACUUACAUUAACAUUUUAAAAGUCACUUGAAACUGGAGAAACACCUAUUACAGGAGUGGAAACAUGCUAAUGUAGCCCCAGACUUUAAAAAGGUGGAAAAAUACAAACCCGUAAACUACAGGCCAAUAUCUUAAACCUGCAUACGUUGCAAGCUCAUGGAGCACACGGUCAUCAUUACAAGUAGCAUCAUGUCUCAUCUCGAAAACAUCAUAUAUUAUAAGGG